UACGAAGGGGGGCUAGCGUUGCUCGGAAUUACUGGGCGUAAAGGGCGCGUAGGCGGAUAUCUAAGUUGGGGGUGAAAUCCCGGGGCUCAACCUCGGAAUUGCCUUCAAAACUGGAUAUCUUGAGUUCGGGAGAGGUGAGUGGAACUCCGAGUGUAGAGGUGAAAUUCGUAGAUAUUCGGAAGAACACCAGUGGCGAAGGCGACUCACUGGCCCGAUACUGACGCUGAGGCGCGAAAGCGUGGGGAGCAAAUAGG
rnacentral:rRNA from 1 species